GGUCUGGUAGUUCAGUUGGUUAGAAUGCCGCGCUGUCACGGCGGAGGUCGCGGGUUCGAGUCCCGUCCAGACCGCCA
rnacentral:tRNA from 1 species